rnacentral:rRNA from 1 species
CCUACGGGAGGCAGCAGGGAGGAAUAUUGGGCAAUGGACGGAAGUCGGAACCAGCCAGGCCGCGGGCAGGAAGACGGCUCUAUGAGGGGUAAACUGCUUUUGUACAAGGGUAAACCUGAAUACGUGUAUUCAGCUGAAAGUACUGUACGAAUAAGGAUCGGCUAACUCCGUGCCAGCAGCAGCGGUAAUACGGAGGAUCCAAGCGUUAUCCGGAUUUAUUGGGUUUAAAGGGUGCGUAGGCGGUUUGAUAAGUUAGAGGUGAAAUUUCCGAGCUUAACUCGGGAACUGCCUCUCAUACUGUUGAUCUAGAGCGUAGGUGCGGUCGGCGGAAUGUCUGGUGUAGCGGUGAAAUGCUU